rnacentral:rRNA from 1 species
UACGGAGGGAGCUAGCGUUGUUCGGAAUUACUGGGCGUAAAGCGCACGUAGGCGGCUUUGUAAGUUAGAGGUGAAAGCCCGGGGCUCAACUCCGGAACUGCCUUUAAAACUGCAUCGCUUGAAUCCAGGAGAGGUGAGUGGAAUUCCGAGUGUAGAGGUGAAAUUCGUAGAUAUUCGGAAGAACACCAGUGGCGAAGGCGGCUCACUGGACUGGUAUUGACGCUGAGGAGCGAAAGCGUGGGGAGCGAACAGG